UGGUUUCAAAUUCAUUUCCCCUUUCCCAAAUUUCUCUGUUUUCCCAUACAAUACUCUUUCAAAUACUCUUCAAAAUUUAUUUCUCUGAAUCUAUCCUGAUCCUAAACCAAUUUGAAAUUAGGUUUCAAAAUAUUUUCAAUCAACCAUCACUGUUUGACAGUUCGACGGUAGAGCUUCAAUUGCAUUCGCGAUUCAAUUACUUGAAUGCUGGUUUCUCAUCGUCCAAAACUUAAUCAGUGCAUCAUCAAUGUUAAUUUGAAGAACACACAACCUACAAGAUGAAAUUCGGUCACCAUGGAGGAAGAUCUGCCCGUUGACAACCUUCGAACUGGGUGCAUUAAAAUUAGUUCCCAGGUUGAAUUAGACUUCAACUGAGAAUUCACCCCCCAAAAAAUCAAGCAAGCAUAAUGGAAAAAGAUGUCAAAUUUGUUACUUAUUGCUAUGAUCUGAAUUUUGAGCUGUUGAAGUGUGAUAAGUCUCCGACGUCAGCGUUUGAACUCAGAUAAGUCUCCUUUUGCUUCUCCAAUUUUAAUUCAUAAGUUAAAAGUUAGUUUUUGGUUUUCCAGUAUACAACAGAGAACCUACACUUUCUUUUCAAUGUUUGAUCUUGAUGGAUAAUCAAUGUGGAUCAAUAUACUCAAGCAAUUGGAAUAUGUGUAGAAGAUAUCAAGGGUUACAAAUGUUUUACUCUUGAAAGGCCUUGCUUUUUAUUGGUGGCUUUGCUCAAAGGGGAACAACCAAAUGUAAUAUGAUACUUGUCAUUUGGUCGCCGAGGGUCAAGUGAUGAGUUUGAUGGCGGAGGUUUUGGCUAGAGUGAUGCAGUUCGAGAUGACUACUGGAUUCUGCAUAUAAGGCACUGGUAGGCAAAACAAUAACAAAUGCAUGAAAAUGCAUCUAAGGUGUUUGAAAAGAAGAACUUGAUGUAGAAAAAAGGGUUGAGGCAGAAAACUGGAGAUGAAGCAGUUGUAGGCAAAACAACUUCUCAAUGGGCAGUGGACCCACCAUAUUUCACGGAUUAGGGUGAUCUCUUCUUAGGCUUUUGAUCCUAUAUAUGUUGAGAAAAAGGAAAAUGCAAGAGCAUGUCAUGAUAAAUACGAAGGUUAACGUUUCCUUAUUUACUUUUCUUGAAAGAGAGAGCACAAGCAUGUGAUGUUAGAACCGUGUGCUGCUUAAACUAUUCAACAAUCCAUUUUACAUAGGAUUGAUUAUAUAAUUACAAAAUAAAUAGGAGAUUAUAUAACUAUCCUGAUAACACUAGCUAGCAACCAACUUUAGAAUUGAGAAUAUCAUAAGAAUAUGUUGAAGAAAUUAAUGGUAUCUUUUUUCUGGUUCAAUACAUUACACAUCUUUUGUUUAGUUUCCUUCUUCUGAUUACAUUCUCUACAUGCUUAACUAUUCUCCGUAGAUAUCGUAAGUGUUUUUCAGUACAUAUUAGUUGUUGAGAAAGAAUAAGGUGAAGAAAUGCUUUAAUAUUAUUUUACCGGGAAAAUAAGGAUAAACCUUGAGGUGUUUUCUUAAGACUUUCUAUUGAAAAGAUAGUCGAUGUUGAAGUUGCAGUUUUCUAGAGAUUAGCAAAUGACCAGUUCUGCAAUGCAAACCAUUGCAUUGUCAUCUCUAUAAGCAAUUUUCUGCAGAGCUUGGCUUAUUUUACUUCCAUGCUACCUUUGUUUGAAUUCUAUCUUUGUAUGCUACCCAUAUAUUCCUACAAGAAUGUUUGAAAAAUCUCUUCCACUUUCCUUUACAUGUCAUGUUCUCAAGGCAUAUGCCAGCUUGCCUUUUUGUAGUGCAUAAUAUGCAUCUGUCUAGCUGUGUCCCCAGUUGAAAAUAUACAUACUUGGUGUUUUUAAUUUUUCAUUUUGUAUUUUAACAGGUUUUUACGACUUCUGGUUGAGAAUUUGCACAUACUUGCUUAUUAUUGCUUGGUGGGUUGUGAUCCUUAUGGCUUUGAUAUCUUAACCACUUAUAAA